rnacentral:rRNA from 1 species
AGGCGGUUUGUCGCGUCUGGAGUGAAAGCCUUCAGCUUAACUGUAGGCUUGCAUUCGAUACUGGCAGACUAGAGGUAUGCAGGGGAGAAUGGAAUUCCUGGUGUAGCGGUGAAAUGCGCAGAUAUCAGGAGGAACACCGGUGGCGAAGGCGGUUCUCUGGGCAUUACCUGACGCUGAGGAGCGAAAGUGUGGGGAGCGAACAGG